rnacentral:rRNA from 1 species
GACGAACGCUGGCGGCGUGCUUAACACAUGCAAGUCGAACGGUAAGGCCCUUCGGGGUACACGAGUGGCGAACGGGUGAGUAACACGUGGGUGAUCUGCCCUGCACUUCGGGAUAAGCCUGGGAAACUGGGUCUAAUACCGGAUAGGACUCCUGGCUUCAUGGUUGGGGGUGGAAAGCUUUUGCGGUGUGGGAUGGGCCCGCGGCCUAUCAGCUUGUUGGUGGGGUAAUGGUCUACCAAGGCGACGACGGGUAGCCGGCCUGAGAGGGUGACCGGUCACACUGGGACUGAGAUACGGCCCAGACUCCUACGGGAGGCAGCAGUGGGGAAUAUUGCACAAUGGGCACAAGCCUGAUGCAGCGACGCCGCGUGAGGGAUGACGGCCUUCGGGUUGUAAACCUCUUUCAGCUAUGACGAAGCGCAAGUGACGGUAGUAGCAGAAGAAGGACCGGCCAACUACGUGCCAGCCGCCGCGGUAA